GAUUAUUUCCUGUGUGAAAGAUAAAUGCACUGGCUCCCUUUGUGAUCCUCCAAAGCAUCGCAUUGAUAUUACUCCCUCAGCCUGGAACUGUUUAUGUGAUUUGGAACCCAUCUGGAGCCCAAAGAAAGCUGUUGAUGUGCCGUGUGACUCAGGAACCCGCAAGUAGUAUCCAGGGGUCGCAAAGGCACAGAUGGACUGCUGUGGAGUAGAGAUCGCGGUGUUUUCCCAAGAUACCUAGAAAUUUUAAUAGCUUAAAAAAAUUGAAGAUGAGAGCUGGUACUUGGAGGUAAAAGGUAAAGCGCGCACCAGCUGUUUUCUAGGGGUGGCAGAAUGACCCACUUCGCUAUGAUGGAGGCCAGAGACACGAGCCAGCCUGGAAACUCCUCCAGCCGAGAAAGUGAAGAUACUCCCUGCACCUGCCGCACAGGGCCCUGUUUCAAAGGAAACCUUUGGACCCAGUUGUCACCCACCCUUAAUUUAUAGGCCAGAAAGAACCUCCACCAGAUGCCAUAUGCAUUUCUUUGAAGGGAUUCAUCAUAUUCCACAGCUAAUAAAAUCACCUCUCUGGUGGGAAG